UACGUAGGUCCCGAGCGUUAUCCGGAAUUAUUGGGCGUAAAGGGUGCGCAGGUGGUUAUGUAAGUCUGGUGUGAAAUUUUUGGGCUCAACCCAAAAAGGUCAUUGGAAACUGCAUAACUUGAGAGCAGGAGAGGUAAGUGGAAUUCCUAGUGUAGCGGUGAAAUGCGUAGAGAUUAGGAGGAACACCAGUGGCGAAGGCGGCUUACUGGACUGUAUCUGACACUGAGGCACGAAAAGCGUGGGUAGCAAACAGGG
rnacentral:rRNA from 1 species